CCUACGGGUGGCAGCAGUGGGGAAUAUUGCACAAUGGGGGAAACCCUGAUGCAGCGACGCCGCGUGAGUGAGGAAGUAUUUCGGUAUGUAAAGCUCUAUCAGCAGGGAAGAAAAUGACGGUACCUGACUAAGAAGCCCCGGCUAACUACGUGCCCGCAGCCGCGGUAAGACGUAGGGGGCAAGCGUUUUCCGGAUUUACUGGGUGUAAAGGGAGCGUAGGAGGGAUUGCAAGUCCGAAGGGAAAAACCGGGGCCCCACCCCGGGAAGGGAAUUGGAAAUGGUUUUCUUGGAGUGCGGGAGGGGCAGGUGGAAUGUGUGGUGUAGCGGUGAAAGGCAUAGAUAUCAGGCGGAACACCGGUUGCGAAGGCGGCUUGCGGAACGGCGAUUGACGUUGAGGCUCGAAAGCGUGGGGAGCAAACAGGAUUAGAUACCCGUGUAGUC
rnacentral:rRNA from 1 species